UAGUUUCUCCAGAUUUCCGUUCGGUAUAUGUAAGUCUUCCAUUGCAACAGGCUGCUGAUGCAUAUUUUGUUUCUUUUUAAAAAUGGGGUUACAAUUUUCUUUAGUACCCAAGGGAUAAAGUGAUUGCAUUCAUUCGAGGCUAAUUUUGGCCAAGCGGUUUCCUGUAUUUUAUUUAACUAUGCAGCCGCUGAAAUGCAAUUAAUUGCUUUGGAGUCGGGGGUUAAGAAAAGUGUGUGUUGAGAUGAACUUUUCCUUGAUGUUUAGGAGCAUCGUUGUUGUGUGCCACGAUAUGGGGGUCUGAUUUAUGUGACGAGCUGGCCAACAACCUUUCCUCAUCGGAAGAAUUUGAGUUUAGUCUGUAUUGGAGGCAUAGGAUUGCAAGAAGCUAAUUUAAUUGGAUGCAUGUGUUUUUGUUGCCUGAAAGCUACAAAAGUUCAAUUAUGCAGCAGUAUUUCUACCCGGUACUCGCUGUAAGAGAGAGGCAUGAUGUUGCAGAUUAGGUUGCGCGUGUUAAUCAGUUGCAUAUUGAGAGCGAUGUCUUCCUGGCGAAUUCUUUGUCGGUCCCUCUAAUCCAUUUUCUUCUCAAUGGGAGGUGACAGAAGCUUACGUUUCCUGUUGUUCAAAGGCAAAUUUGCUGGGUUCUGCCAUUUGGUACCACUGAUGGGGGUAGGGAAUCAAACGCUGCGAAGAUAAUGUAGUUUCGAUGGAGUUUAUUUUCAAUUGGCUUUUUACAGCCCGCUUUUGAAGACACGGCGAUAAUGCGUGAUACGACUGGCUGUGUGUGUCCUGUUGCUAGGAAGAAACGCAGUCUGAAAAGAGAUCAGAUACUGAUUUUUUUUUUUGUAAGCUCAAGUGCUUCUUCUGAACCACCUAUAAGAAAGUAGAAUGUAGAUAUGUUUUGUUUAUCCAAAAAUAAAACUCCAGCACUUUGUGCUAUCGACAAGAAUGGAUGGAAAUACCCACAUCCCGCGCCAGGGAUGUGCCAAUAACUCUUUGUUUUUGUUACAAUGUUGGAACGCUUAACAGUUCAAACAACAUGGAUGGAGAUCUGAAGAAGGGUUUCGGCCCGAAACGUUGCCUUUUUCCUUCGCUCCAUAGAUGCUGCUGCACCCGCUGAGUUUCUCCGGCAUUUUUGUGUACCAUGGAUGGAGAUAUACGUGAUACAGAAUUAAUGGAUGGCCAUGAAGAAUUACUUGGCUACAAAGAGUUUUAUUAAUUUAAUGGAUCCCAUCUGGCUGUAUUUAAAUCUUUCAGUUGUGCUAAAAGGAAUGUCUGAAAUGAAAUAUAGGUGGUUUUAAAACAUCAAAAUGGUUUUAAAUGGUGCUUUCAUUGAAGACAAGUAUGCUAUGUAAAACUGUUAACUUUGAUAAAAAGUAGUAGUUAAUGACCGAUCUGUUUCUUUAUCUAUUUCUGUCUUGUACAAGUUAUCAAAUCUUCUAGAAAGGAUAUUGUGCUCUAGAUGAAUUAAAAUUGGGACACUGUAAAAGUAAUACAUUUCCUCUGGCAAUAAAACUGUAAUAUAUUGUCAUUGACAUGUGGCUAUUAUGCUCAAAUUGCCCUUUUCAGGUUCAGCAUGUGAUAUCUAAAUUCUGAAUGUUGAUGUUCAAGGCAUUUUACUAAAAUACUCUUGGUCUUUUCAACAAGAGAUCAAAAUGCAUGCAAGCUGUAAAGUAAUGUUGAUUUGCAUUGUAUCAAGCAUAAAAGCUUAGUGAGUUAAACAUUUUUAAAUAAUUGCAGACUUUGAGUGAAUAAGCUAGGUUAUUUUUAGGUUAGAUGUUUGUUAGGUGGCCUAGACAUGUGACACUUUUCAAAAGUUCAAAUCCUUUAAGCUUGUAACCACUUACCUAUUCAUAGAAAAAUGCCUUGUGCAUAGUUUUUGAAAUCGUCUUAUUAUUUAAUUGUAUUGACUUGUUGGAUUGGAAAACUGAUAACUUUAUACUGAAUAAAGUGGGAUUAUAUGCU